GAGUUUGAUCAUGGCUCAGAUUGAACGCUGGCGGCAGGCCUAACACAUGCAAGUCGGGCGGUAGAGAGAAGCUUGCUUCUCUUGAGAGCGGCGGACGGGUGAGUAAUGCCUAGGAAUCUGCCUGGUAGUGGGGGAUAACGCUCGGAAACGGACGCUAAUACCGCAUACGUCCUACGGGAGAAAGCAGGGGACCUUCGGGCCUUGCGCUAUCAGAUGAGCCUAGGUCGGAUUAGCUAGUUGGUGAGGUAAUGGACUCACCAAGGCGACGAUCCGUAACUGGUCUGAGAGGAUGAUCAGUCACACUGGAACUGAGACACGGUCCAGACUCCUACGGGAGGCAGCAGUGGGGAAUAUUGGACAAUGGGCGAAAGCCUGAUCCAGCCAUGCCGCGUGUGUGAAGAAGGUCUUCGGAUUGUAAAGCACUUUAAGUUGGGAGGAAGGGCAGUAAAUUAAUACUUUGCUGUUUUGACGUUACCGACAGAAUAAGCACCGGCUAACUCUGUGCCAGCCGCCG
rnacentral:rRNA from 1 species